AUAUCACUGUUACUGCUCCCACUGGAAGGCUAUUCCAGGUAUCUACUACCCUUUCUAUAUCACUGUUACCGCUCCCACUGGAAGGCUAUUCCAGGUAUCUACUACCCUUUCUAUAUCACUGUUACUGCUCCCACUGGAAGGCUAUUCCAGGUAUGUACUACCCUUUCUAUAUCACUGUUACUGCUCCCACUGGAAGGCUAUUCCAGGUAUCUACUACCCUUUCUAUAUCACUGUUACUGCUCCCACUGGAAGGCUAUUCCAUAUAUCUACUACCCUUUCUAUAUCACUGUUACUGCU